UAGGGUGCGACUGCCGAUAUCGGGUCUGGACUGCGCGGAUGCGGUGUUGCGAAUGAUGACCUAUACAACCUCAACAAAUCCUUCUUUUAACUCAUGGGUAUCAAGACUCUAAAUGUUUCAUGUUACCACAACUAGGACCUCACCUCCUCCUCCUCCUCUUCCUCUGUAAAUGGGUACGAUGCAUCCAGUUCAGUUUGUUUACUUUACACAAACCUCAGGAGUUAGUUGACUGAGCUGCACAUCCUGUGUUGUGCCAAGCAGAAGCACUGUGACACCUGGACUAUGAGUCUCUCACUUAAUCCUCUACCGUAAGGACUUAGCUGGCCACAAUGAACUGAUGUGCCCACCACUGUGUCAUGGUGAGAAUGGGUAUUUUACUAGCACAUUUACACAACUUCAUUUGCUGCUGAAAACCUGUAUGACAAAUCAUCCUUGUAAAUUAUUACAUACAAAACUUAAUGUUGGUUGAA
rnacentral:lncRNA from 1 species